rnacentral:rRNA from 1 species
CGAGCGCACCCUUCGGGGCGAGCGGCGGACGGGUUAGUAACGCGUGGGAACAUACCCUUUACUACGGAAUAGCCUCGGGAAACUGAGAGUAAUACCGUAUGUGCCCUUCGGGGGAGAGAUUUGUCGGUAAAGGAUUGGCCCGCGUUAGAUUAGAUAGUUGGUGGGGUAAUGGCCUACCAAGUCUACGAUCUAUAGCUGGUUUUAGAGGAUGAUCAGCAACACUGGGGCUGAGACACGGCCCAG